rnacentral:rRNA from 1 species
GGGAAACUGCCUGAUGGAGGGGGAUAACUACUGGAAACGGUAGCUAAUACCGCAUAACGUCGCAAGACCAAAGAGGGGGACCUUCGGGCCUCUUGCCAUCGGAUGUGCCCAGAUGGGAUUAGCUAGUAGGUGGGGUAACGGCUCACCUAGGCGACGAUCCCUAGCUGGUCUGAGAGGAUGACCAGCCACACUGGAACUGAGACACGGUCCAGACUCCUACGGGAGGCAGCAGUGGGGAAUAUUGCACAAUGGGCGCAAGCCUGAUGCAGCCAUGCCGCGUGUAUGAAGAAGGCCUUCGGGUUGUAAAGUACUUUCAGCGGGGAGGAAGGGAGUAAAGUUAAUACCUUUGCUCAUUGACGUUACCCGCAGAAGAAGCACCGGCUAACUCCGUGCCAGCAGCCGCGGUAAUACGGAGGGUGCAAGCGUUAAUCGGAAUUACUGGGCGUAAAGCGCACGCAGGCGGUUUGUUAAGUCAGAUGUGAAAUCCCCGGGCUCAACCUGGGAACUGCAUCUGAUACUGGCAAGCUUGAGUCUCGUAGAGGGGGGUAGAAUUCCAGGUGUAGCGGUGAAAUGCGUAGAGAUCUGGAGGAAUACCGGUGGCGAAGGCGGCCCCCUGGACGAAGACUGACGCUCAGGUGCGAAAGCGUGGGGAGCAAACAGGAUU